rnacentral:rRNA from 1 species
UACGUAGGGGGCAAGCGUUGUCCGGAAUCAUUGGGCGUAAAGCGCGCGUAGGCGGCCCGGUAAGUCCGCUCUGAAAGCCCCCGGGCUCAACCCUGGGAUGCCGGUGGAUACUGUCGGGCUCGAGUCCGGAAGAGGAGUGUGGAAUUCCUGGUGUAGCGGUGAAAUGCGCAGAUAUCAGGAGGAACACCAAUAGGCGAAGGCAG